AGUGGCCGAUGGCUAUACCUAUUCCAAGACAUUUGGGGGUAAGCCCGAGCUGAUAACCGCUUCUGGCGUGAUCAGCGAAAGGUAUCCUCCUCCUGAGGGGCUUAUAUCACACUCUGCGAUGACACCUAGUGCCUGAACUCUGUGCGGUAGACCGUCCUUUGGGGAACAUAGUGGGGGCAAAUGGAUAAUCAAUAGGCCUCUGAAGCAAUGCUUCUUAGUUCCUAGCGAUUAGGAAACGUUCUGCAAAGAGCAUUUCCUCACCCAAGUUAACAACUCUAGCCCUCUUUUAGGGGGUUCGGCCUAGCAUCUCUCGGGAUGCGAAGCCUUAAGAUAGUUACCUGGUUGAUUCUGCCAGUAG
rnacentral:misc_RNA from 1 species